GAAGUUUUCCAUCGUUUUUUGCCAUGAAAAUGUAUGCAAUGCGUGCAGGACAUGUGCAUCUACCUUUUACAAAACUUUUCUCGUCCGAAUUAAGUUGAAAACAUGGAAAAAAUACAUAUUUUCUGAAGCGGCUCCAAAUUGUUUGGAAAAAUGCUUCGGUCAGCCGCCGCCAGGUGCGCUAGUGAAAAUCGAAAUUACACCAGAGAGUACGAUCAAUGUAGCCCGGCCUUAAA